AUUGAACGCUGGCGGCAGGCCUAACACAUGCAAGUCGAACGGGAACAGGAAGCAGCUUGCUGCUUUGCUGACGAGUGGCGGACGGGUGAGUAAUGUCUGGGAAACUGCCUGAUGGAGGGGGAUAACUACUGGAAACGGUAGCUAAUACCGCAUAACGUCGCAAGACCAAAGAGGGGGACCUUCGGGCCUCUUGCCAUCGGAUGUGCCCAGAUGGGAUUAGCUAGUAGGUGGGGUAACGGCUCACCUAGGCGACGAUCCCUAGCUGGUCUGAGAGGAUGACCAGCCACACUGGAACUGAGACACGGUCCAGACUCCUACGGGAGGCAGCAGUGGGGAAUAUUGCACAAUGGGCGCAAGCCUGAUGCAGCCAUGCCGCGUGUAUGAAGAAGGCCUUCGGGUUGUAAAGUACUUUCAGCGGGGAGGAAGGGAGUAAAGUUAAUACCUUUGCUCAUUGACGUUACCCGCAGAAGAAGCACCGGCUAACUCCGUG
rnacentral:rRNA from 1 species